rnacentral:rRNA from 1 species
CUGGAAGGUUAAUUGAUGGGGUCAGCCGUAAGGCGAAGCUCCUGAUCGAAGCCCCAGUAAACGGCGGCCGUAACUAUAACGGUCCUAAGGUAGCGAAAUUCCUUGUCGGGUAAGUUCCGACCUGCACGAAUGGCGUAAUGAUGGCCAGGCUGUCUCCACCCGAGACUCAGUGAAAUUGAACUCGCUGUGAAGAUGCAGUGUACCCGCGGCAAGACGGAAAGACCCCGUGAACCUUUACUAUAGCUUGACACUGAACAUUGAGCCUUGAUGUGUAGGAUAGGUGGGAGGCUUUGAAGUGUGGACGCCAGUCUGCAUGGAGCCAACCUUGAAAUACCACCCUUUAACGUUUGAUGUUCUAACCUAGGCCCAUAAACUGGGUCGGGGACCGUGUCUGGUGGGUAGUUUGACUGGGGCGGUCUCCUCCUAAAGAGUAACGGAGGAGCACGAAGGUUGGCUAAGCAUGGUCGGACAUCAUGCGGUUAGUGCAAAGGCAUAAGCCAGCUUGACUGCGAGAGUGACGGCUCGAGCAGGUACGAAAGUAGGUCUUAGUGAUCCGGUGGUUCUGAAUGGAAGGGCCAUCGCUCAACGGAUAAAAGGUACUCCGGGGAUAACAGGCUGAUACCGCCCAAGAGUUCAUAUCGACGGCGGUGUUUGGCACCUCGAUGUCGGCUCAUCACAUCCUGGGGCUGAAGUAGGUCCCAAGGGUAUGGCUGUUCGCCAUUUAAAGUGGUACGCGAGCUGGGUUUAGAACGUCGUGAGACAGUUCGGUCCCUAUCUGCCGUGGGCGUUGGAAGAUUGAGAGGGGUUGCUCCUAGUACGAGAGGACCGGAGUGAACGCACCACUGGUGUUCGGGUUGUCAUGCCAAUGGCAUUGCCCGGUAGCUAAGUGCGGAAGAGAUAACCGCUGAAAGCAUCUAAGCGGGAAACUUGCC